GACGUAGGGCGCGAGCGUUGUCCGGAUUUAUUGGGCGUAAAGAGCUCGUAGGCGGCUUGUUGCGUCGGCUGUGAAAACCCAUGGCUUAACCGUGGGCUUGCAGCCGAUACGGGCAGGCUAGAGUUCGGUAGGGGAGACUGGAAUUCCUGGUGUAGCGGUGAAAUGCGCAGAUAUCAGGAGGAGCACCGGUGGCGAAGGCGGGUCUCUGGGCCGAUAUUGACGCUGAGGAGCGAAAGCGUGGGGAGCGAACAGG
rnacentral:rRNA from 1 species